rnacentral:hammerhead_ribozyme from 1 species
UUCUAGCUGACGAGUCCAAAACAGGACGAAACGCGUGUACUGGAU